rnacentral:rRNA from 1 species
GAUGAACGCUGGCGGCGUGCCUAAUACAUGCAAGUCGAGCGAACAGAUAAGGAGCUUGCUCCUUUGACGUUAGCGGCGGACGGGUGAGUAACACGUGGGUAACCUACCUAUAAGACUGGAAUAACUCCGGGAAACCGGGGCUAAUGCCGGAUAACAUUUAGAACCGCAUGGUUCUAAAGUGAAAGAGGGUUUUGCUAUCACUUAGAGAUGGACCCGCGCCGUAUUAGCUAGUUGGUAAGGUAACGGCUUACCAAGGCAACGAUACGUAGCCGACCUGAGAGGGUGAUCGGCCACCCUGGAACUGAGACACGGUCCAGACUCCUACGGGAGGCAGCAGUAGGGAAUCUUCCGCAAUGGGCGAAAGCCUGACGGAGCAACGCCGCGUGAGUGAUGAAGGUCUUCGGAUCGUAAAACUCUGUUAUUAGGGAAGAACAAAUGUGUAAGUAACUGUGCACGUCUUGACGGUACCUAAUCAGAAAGCCACGGCUAACUACGUG